rnacentral:lncRNA from 1 species
ACACAUGAACAAGUUCUGUGGUUGGUAGGCUGGGAAAAGUUUUCAUCUGAGGUUCUAGAAAUGCUAUAAUUUUUAUAUCAGUUCAGGCAUUUACCCACACAGGAAACCCCAGCUCUACCAUCGUCAGCGGUGCUACCCAUCAUCCUAGUUUCUGCCCUAUGACACAAUGAAAGAAAGCUCUUUACAUCCAGAAAAUAUACUGAUUGAAAUGUCAUCUUUGGGAAGUCUGUUCUAAAGACAGUAAUUGAUAUUGUUUCAGGAAGUGUUAAGUAUCUGUCAUGAAAACCAUUUUAACGGCCGAGACUUGUUUUCUUCUUUAGUUUGCUUAACUUGGCAGUCUGUUAACUUCCCUCUUCGAAAACCUCCUGUUUUGAUUUAUGAAUGUUUUCAAAUUUUUAAGAUUCUCCAAACCGUUGUUUCACCUGUAAGUAGAGAGAUAGCUUGUUUGGCUAACUGCCUUGCAUGACUCUGUGCCAGGCAAUGAAUAAUGCCAUGUUCAAUAUUCUCAAUUUGUGUUCCAAAUUCUGAAUUUCCAAUGAGCUGCAUGGAAUUCUGCUGAUAACUGACUGAUUUUCCCUGCAAGGAUUGUCUUAUUCUAAACUUCAAAUUUAGUUGCCUUACUUUAUACAAGGCAAUUUUGAAUGGAUUUUAAAGUGAGGAUGAAGACUAUUCAUACCUCUCUAAACCUAGAAGGCAGAAGAAGUGAGCUAACGAAGGCGGGCAUCUUAUCUAAGAGGACUGCAUGUCUUAACAGUAGCACACAGGGAAGGCUUUUUCUUUUGAAAUGGUGCUAGCCAACCCUUAAUAGAAACCUCAGAUGCAAAGUAUUACCAAAGUUUCUAGUAUUCACCCCAAAGGAUUUCUCCAUGUUUAAAAGUAUAAACAUAUUUAUGUGCAUGGCACUGGAGCUGGGGAAACAAUAAUGAAUCAUAGGAGUGACCAGAUAUUUCUUUAGCACUAAAGUAGGCUGACUGGGAAUUUUAAAAUUUGGGUGACCUUAAAAAUAUUAUUAACCAUUUUUGUCUUCCUCUGCACAUUUUUCUGGACCAUGAGGACUAGGAUAAUGUAAGAAAGCUUCUCUUAGAGGCUUUCCAGCAUAAAAGCAAGGAAGCACUGCCAACAGUCAACUCUCAGAGAAUGUUUGUGCAGAGUCCAAACCAAUUCUGUGAACUCGAGCAUCACUAUUUUCCUUACUCUUGUGUUUCCAGGAUGCAGGUCUGCACCCAACUGGACCUGAGCUUGCGUAGGUUAUCCAGUUCUUUUAGAGAGUGUAGGUGGUUUGAGUACAGAGUGCUUGGAUGAUUCACACUGCUGUCUAGACUGACCUGGGUUGACCAGGUGAGUGGACACUCCCCAAUGUCUCUUUAGCUUUGUAAACCCAUCAAGACAUUGAAAACAAACAUGACCGUUCCUCCCCCUCCCCCCCCCAAUUCAUGUUUAAAAUAUAUUCGGUAUCAUGAGUCUGUGGUUUGGUAUGCUAUAUAUUUUGACUUAAAGAUAUAAAAGAUGGAUUUAUACUAGAUUUAAGGACCACUGCUAUCAGAGAAAUGAUCAUGCUAAUGUCUUUCCUGGAAAGAAAGGGCCAGUCUCUUUGCGAUUGACCAUGGAGGAUUCUUUUGUUGUCUUUGGUGAUAUCAUACUCGUUGGUAUUGGUACAUUAUUGGAGGUGAAACUCCAAAACAAAACUGAUGAUAAAAUUUUCAAUUACUACUGAACUAGGGGACAUGGGGCAUCUAGAAUACCAGUCAAGUUCUGCCCUCUAGGAUUAGAAGUAUGUUAGUGUUGGCAUACAUUUUGAGUGAAGAGUUCCCUUGAGGAACUUUUUUCCUGAGCUCUGUCAGGUGGGUGUGUUUAGCAUUGCUCCCUCUAGUGAGGGCAGGAAAAAGGUAAAAGCCAUCAGAUGGGAUCUGGAGACUUUUUUACAUUUUGUUCUGACCUAGAAUGUGGAGAACGUGUUCAGAGCCUGAUGGAUACAAAUAUAGAAUCUGCCAUGAACCUGCUGAAAAGGGGUCAGAGUUGCCAACUUUCCUGCUGGCAUAGCUCAUGUGAACAUUGCUUUUGCCCACCUCCACCCAGAAAUGGCCCAUUGAGGAAAAUUACAUGGUUUGUCCCAGAAAUGUAGGGAAGUGCUUUGAGUGGUGGAAGAAGUGGUGACAGUUGGUGAGGGGGUAGUGUCUGUUUCUCUAGUCCGGGGAUGGUGUGACAAAGGCUAGUGGCACAGAGAACCCUAGAGAAUGGAGUGAGGGAUAGAGUCAGUAGUCAGGGAGGCAGAUCUCUGAGAAUCCAUCUAGAAUGGUGGUGAUGAAGUCACAGAGCAUUGGCAAAUGCUCACCUGUGUGACAUGUGUCAUGGACCAAGAAAUAUUAGGACUGCAGUUACCAUGGCUGAAAGAAGCUGCUUCUCAUCCAGUUUUCUGGCACUGCAUAUGUUCAGUAGAUUUGCAUGGUACAAAAUGGAGUGGUGAAGGGUAACCUGACGACUACGAUUAAAAUUCUCAACACAGAAGUUGGGGGUUUGGAACAAAUACAUUUUGAUUCAGAGAAAUAAAAAGAAAAAAGUGACACCUUAAACUCUGAUGUUUCUGUCUUAAAUUUAUACAUGUUUUGGAGGUAAGAUAUACAAAGCACCUAGUUCAGUGCAUGGCUUAAUGGCAGGCAAUUAUUAUUCUUUCAACAAAUGUUUAUUGUUUCUCCAGCUGUGCCACACCCCAUGCUAGAUGUCAGGCAUAGUGAAGUAUAAUAAACAAGGUUCAGCCCCUGUGUUAUGGAGGUUACCUAAAGGGAGAGAGACAUAGUAAAUGGCUAAAUAUCCAACUGAUUUUUAGUUUCAUGAAGGGAGUUGGCCCUAGGACAAACCUGACUCAUAGAUUAGGUCAAAGCCAAGGGAACUACAGGGAGGUGGAGCCAGAGGUCUGAUGACACUGUGAAAUUUUGGAUUAAUACCCUGGGCUUUUAGCUACAGGAGGGAAGAGGUUUUCCUACACAUAUACCACACUCACUCACUUGUUUUUCUUUUCCUUUAAGCCAGCUAAAGGGGUCUGACCCUUGAAACUAACAAAUUCUAUACUAAGAAAAAAAAAUGAGAGAGAAUCCCAGAUGUACAUCAGAGUUAAGGAUGGCAAAUUAGAAAAAAAAAAAAAGAAAUCAAUUACAGGAAGUAUAAACAACAUAUCUCCAUAGCCUAAAGACCAGAAAGGAAAGUUGCU